rnacentral:tRNA from 1 species
GUUAAAAUGGCCGAGUUAGGCGGUAAAUUGUAAAUUUACUUACGAGGGUUGAACCUCUUUUGACA